GCGAAAGCUAAACGCAUCAACGCCGCGUGGGUGAUUAAGGCCUUCGGGUCGUAAAACCCUUUUCUGGGGGAAGAGUAACGACGGUACCCCAUGAAUAAGCCUCGGGUAACUAUCUGCCAGCAGCCCGCGGCUAAUACAUACGAGGCGACCGUUAUCCGGAUUCACUGGGCGUAAAGAGCCUUGAGGCGGCUUCGUAAUUUGGACGUGAGACCUCCCGGCUUAACUGCGGAGAGGCCGUUCAAUACUGCUGGGCUUGAGGACAGCGAGAUGGGGGUGGAAUUUCCGGUGUAGUGAUGAAAUGCGUAGAGAUCGGAAGGAACACCAAUGGCGAAGGCGGCCCCCUGGCCUGAUCCUGACGCUGAAGGCGAAAGCUAGGGUAACGAACGGGAUUAGAAACCCCGGUAGUCCUAGCCGUAAACGAUGGAUACUAGGUGUAGGAGGUUAAAAUGCCUUCAGUGCCGGAGCUAACGCGUUAAGUAUCCCGCCUGGGGAGUACGCUCGCAAGGCUAAAACUCAAAGGAAUUGACGGGGGCCAGCACAAGUAGCGGAGCGUGUGGUUUAAUUCGAUGCAACACGAAGAACCUUACCAGGGCUUGACAUGUAGGUAGUAGUGAAGCGAAAGCGGAACGAUCCUUCGGGAAGCCUACACAGGUGCUGCAUGGCUGUCGUCAGCUCGUACACGUGAGGUGUUAGGUUAAGUCCAUGUAACGAGCGCAACCCCGACCGUUAGUUACAAGUGUCUAACGGGAUUGCCCAGCUAUAUUGGGAGGAAGGUGGGGAUGAAAGUCUAGUCAGCAUGGCCUUUAUGUCUCUGGGCUACACACACGUUACAAUGGCCGGUACAAUGGGUUACCAAGCCGCGAGGCGGAGCCAAUCCUCUAAAGCCGGUCUCAGUUCG
rnacentral:rRNA from 1 species